UGAUUGCUUCCCUCCCCACAG
rnacentral:miRNA from 1 species